rnacentral:misc_RNA from 1 species
AACGCACAUUGCGCCCUCUGGUAUUCCGGAGGGCAUGCCUGUUCGAGCGUCAUUAUCAACCCUCAAGCCCCGGCUUGGUGUUGGAGGCCCGGCGAGGUUCUGAACCUGGCCGCUCCGAAAGAUAACGACGGCGUCCGGCGGACCCCUGGUACAAUGAGCUUUCCAAGCACGUACCGGUUGCGGUCGCCGGGGGCUGGUCUAUAACCCAUUUUUUACAAGGUUGACCUCGGAUCAGGUAGGGAUACCCGCUGAACUUAA